UACGUAGGGGGCUAGCGUUGUCCGGAUUUAUUGGGCGUAAAGAGCGUGUAGGCGGCCAGGUAGGUCUGGUGUGAAAACUCGAGGCUUAACCUCGAGAUGUCAUCGGAAACCACCUUGCUAGAGUCCGGAAGAGGAGAGUGGAAUUCCUGGUGUAGCGGUGAAAUGCGCAGAUAUCAGGAAGAACACCUAUGGCGAAGGCAGCUCUCUGGGACGGUACUGACGCUGAGACGCGAAAGCGUGGGGAGCGAACAGG
rnacentral:rRNA from 1 species